rnacentral:tRNA from 2 species
AUUCUAGUAGCUUAAUACUAAAG